GAUGAACGCUGGCGGCGUGCUUAACACAUGCAAGUCGAACGGAAAGGCCCAAGCUUGCUUGGGUACUCGAGUGGCGAACGGGUGAGUAACACGUGGGUGAUCUGCCCUGCACUUCGGGAUAAGCCUGGGAAACUGGGUCUAAUACCGGAUAGGACCACAUUUUGGAUGGUGUGGUGGAAAGCUUUUCGGUGUGGGAUGAGCUCGCGGCCUAUCAGCUUGUUGGUGGGGUAAUGGCCUACCAAGGCGUCGACGGGUAGCCGGCCUGAGAGGGUGUACGGCCACAUUGGGACUGAGAUACGGCCCAGACUCCUACGGGAGGCAGCAGUGGGGAAUAUUGCACAAUGGGCGCAAGCCUGAUGCAGCGACGCCGCGUGGGGGAUGACGGCCUUCGGGUUGUAAACUCCUUUCGCUAGGGACGAAGCGCAAGUGACGGUACCUGGAGAAGAAGCACCGGCUAACUACGUG
rnacentral:rRNA from 1 species